GCAGCGCAGACAGGAAUGUCACCGUGGUCUCCCAGGCUGAAUGACAAAAGUUCGUGGACUGCCCCCUCCCCGCCUAUCCUCCACCCACGCGUACCGCCCCGUUCCCCCACCGUUUCCGACCCGGCAGCUUCUGGAAAACAGCGCCCUUGAUCCUCCCGGGCAGGAAGAAGGGCCAAGGAAGGGGUUAGAAGGGAAAGAGUUAGGAUUUCCCAAGAACCAGCCCUGAAGGCCUGGAGGUGGGGGAUUUCGCUUCUUAGUUGGACGGGAGCCCCUUGGGUUCCUCACUUCUUAGCCCGCGCCCUGCGGGAGGAGCGACUCUGCUUGUCCCUCAAGAUGCUUGUGAAGGUGCCCGCUGCGCUCUGACACCGGCGAUCUCUUAGAAUGAAGACCAUCCCUGGGCAAAAUUGCGAAGAAGUGGAAGGAAAGAAGAGAAAGAAGAAGAAAGGAAUAUAGAUAAAACCUGAGGGAGUUCAUUAC
rnacentral:lncRNA from 1 species